GCUCCUUGGGGAAAACACCUGCAGUUUUGGUGAGAGCAGCCAUUGCUGUGUUUAUUGCUGCAACCUGCAAGGGACAUCAUGGAAACUACAUUACAAUCAGAAACUGUGAGCAUGAUGAUAGAAUUCAGUAAAACAAGGUAGCAAAAACUCGCAGCAGAGAUAGAAGCUAUGCUCAAGCAUGUGGACAAGAACACCAUACCAGAACUAUGUUUUGCAGACAAUGUAGAAAAUCUACUUGCACCUCAUCUCCCAGCAAACGUAGAAAAAUAAAACUAGUGUGACUUCAAUGAAAGGCUAAAUUAUAGACCUCAGUAUUCUUGA